UCUGUGUGGUAAAAAUCCAGUUCUGCUCAGUGCAUGGCAGAGAUUUCCUUGCUGAACAGCAGGGCUGGCCAAGUAUCCCAUCAGAAAUGCCUACAAAUAGUGUGUAUAUUUGAAGUUGUUUUUUAAAAUAUGAUUAAUGGGUCUUAAUAUUGAUAGAAGCAUUAAAAGAAAAUAAUUUAUCCACACUUCUUGCUAAUGGACUGAUCUCUAUUACGUUAUCGUUACAAUGGCCUCGUUGUGUAUAAAUUAAUUAGGGACUUAAUACCACUGUUUCAUACAAACAGUGUAUGAUUGGCUCCAGUUGAGCAGGAAACGUGGGGUGUCUGAAGGCUGCUCUCUACCACAAAAAGGGCUCUGCUAACACUGGUGGCACACAGUAAUGGAAGUACCAUGAGUUAUGUUGGGCCAAGCAGGGGCAAUGGUGAGGAGGAAUGUUAGCAGAAACAGAAUGGAAAGCUUUCUUUCCUAAGAAGUGAGCUUUGCUUUACUAGAACCUGAUCCACACAGAGAUGGACGUCUUCAGCAGAGGAGGCAGGUAUUAAUCACAGGAAAUAAUGUGUUUUCACAACUCGCAGAGCAGGAGUUCUCUUGACAAGAAAAGAUUUUCUAUUUUUGGAUUGUGCUUUUAAUUAAAGAUGCAUGAGGUGCACAUGCAGAAAGGACCAAAAGGCAGUGUGAAGCUGGAGGGUGCUGAGAGACAGAGCCCUGCUCCUGCCCCUCCAGGCUCCCUGCUGUGUGACACUGCACGGCGCUUCUCUUCUCCUACCUCUUUGCUACCUCCCACUUUCUGUGCAUCGUCUUUGUUAGCUCUUUUCAAGGGCUGAAGCUUUCUUGUACCUUGAGUUAGCACUGCAUUUAGCUUCUCCAGAUGCUAUGGUACUGCCAUCACAACUAAUAGUCAGUCUGCCACCCAGCUCAUUCUCUCAACUCGUUCUUUUGCAAAGUUGCACAUCCUUGUGAAUAGGCAGCUCAGGGAUUUAUAUAGAAAGCAGCAGUGUGGAUCUGCCUCUGAUCUUAAGGAUAAAUCAGGAGUAAAUUCAAUGAAAUUCAGCAGGAAUACAAUAGGUUUUUGUUACAAGGGGAACUGAGACAUUCUGUACAAAAUACACAAACGCUACUUGCAGUAAAGUUUAUAAUACAAGACAAGAAAAUGGUGUGAUGUCUUGCUCCCUUCACAUUGCGCUAAACUUCUCCCUUGGGGUGACUCUUUUAUAUUAUAAUCAGUCAGUUUUCCUGGACUAAUUUCCUUGCAUAGUAGGCUAUAAAUAAUUAUUAUUGGUAUUGCACGGAGGCUGCAAGUUCCUGGACAGCCGUGACCGAAUUCUUAAUUUGCCAGUUACUGAUAUAAUGCAUCUGUUUUUGUGAUUACUUUAAUUAUGUGCUAUAUGUAACUGAAAGAAUACAAAAUCAUCCUUCUUUUUUCUUUGUAGAUUCACAGACUGAUGGAAGGACAGCCCACCUCUGGCCGUCUUUGCUUUUGUAAAUCCUGUCUGGAGUAAAAUGACAUUCUGGGGUAAGCAAUUGUUUAUACAGUUUAGCAGUGUUAGCCCCUGUGUAGUCUCUGAAGACAAUACCAGUAGGUUGUCAGCAUCCCCUGGGCCACAUUGUAUGUUGUAGAAAGAUUCUCAGCAAUGAAAAUGCAGUUUUAUCCUUCUCAAAGUGCCCCUUACCAAAGUCAGCCAAGCAUCCAGAAGCACUUAACUCUGAGUGAUGGAUCAGCAUUAAUAAUCUACUGACUUGAUAAGCAUACAAGAUAGGCCAAGUCUUUCCAGAGGUUUCAAUUCCAUCAUGUCUCCCAUUUCUUUUGGCUGAACCAUGCCAUAGUGUACAUCCAGGGAUUGACAGCUCUAAUUUCAUAGGAACCAAUGGACUUGAAAGAUAAUCUAUUGAUGUAGGAGAUUAAUGAAUCAGGCCUGUGGCCAGAGUCCCAUUGACUUCAGUGAAAGCAGACAGCGAUGCAGUUGCUGUCACAUAGGUCUGAGAGCAGACUGCUUUAAUUUUGUCCUCAGGUGCCCAACUCAGUCAUGGUGCUACAGGAAUGGAGUACAGCUACAUGACCUGGGAUGCUGGAUGCUGCUGGGUGGUCCAAGAUAUAGAUAAUGCCAGUGAGCGCAAUUGCUCUUGCAGAGCCAGUACAAAGAGCUCAAGAUGCAGUCCUGCUUUCCUUCUCUCCAUCUUCCAACAGGAACGCAGGUCUUGACCACACACACUGUCAAUACAGGACCUCGGACUUGAACUUUAUGCCUCGGACUUCAGCUUUGUGAGCCCUUAGACAGCCCUUCUGCAGCUGCAUCAGGCCACACACAGUUACAGCUCUCAGCUGGGAGGUGACAGGCACAAAGCUGGCACUGGCUCUGUGAUUAUUUCUCUGCAAAGUCAAACAGGGCCAAAAAUAAAUGCUAGUGAAGGAAUAAACAGACGUGAAAAGAAGGCUUGGACACUUGGAGGACAAGACUGCUUUGUGUUUCCCAAAGCAAUAAGCCUCUUCACAAGGAGGUUACUCUUUCAGAAAAACACGAGUCCUGUGACACUGCCAAGCUCUUUCCACAGGGUUUGAACAUGCACCAGUUUGAUAGCAGAAGACAGCUUCCAUCUAUGUCAGAACGUGGCCCCAGCACUGUGGCUGUAUCACCUGCAUGCUGGCUUGGGAAGAGGGCCGUGCUGCUGCCAUUCUGCAGCUGAGGAAGCAGGUAAAGAGAGGGUAUGUGUCACAUGCACAGUAACAGCAGUAAGGCCUGGAUUUUUAAAGCUGCUUUGCAUUUUUCAAAAGUCCCUUGUGGACGCAGCUCUCUUUUCUUGUGCUGGUGCUGUACGGGCAGUCUAAGCUGGGCCUCUGCUACCUGUCUGCAUGUAUCAGACUGGUCAGCUGCAGUUUGGAUGGGCUUUGCUUCUGCAGGAAAUAGGCAGAAUUCAAAGCAGAUAGCUAGGUUUGGGCAUCUUGCGUUCUGGUAAGCAAAGUUGGUUAGCAGAGUGCUGCAGUGAUCUCAGUGGGGGUAGGAAGCUUUGUUCUUCACUUUAGGGACUUAACUGAUUCUCCAUCCAGUGCAGUGUCUUUUGAAAUGUGGCCUUUUAGGCUCUUUAUUGUCUCAGUUGGAGACAGAAUGAAAAUGCUGAGUAAUACUGAGCAAUGAUGAGAUUAUACAGAGUCUGUCUCAUGCACAAAGGGAAGUGCAGUUCUUUCACUGUCUCUGAGUCAGCCAAAGCCUCUGAGGACUCUGGGUAAGAAACAUGAGCUUUUAAAGGCACCUCGUUAGGACUGAAUCUUCAGCACUGUCUGUAGUGAGACACCAAAACAUACUCAUCUCAAAGAGGGCAAAUGUUGAGAAAUCAAGGGAGCUAAUUAGUGGAAUCAGCUGCACUGCAGAGUUGAGGAAUUGAAUGUGAUGGAACUUGGAUUCCAAAACUAGUUGAAGCAUGCAGGAAAAUUAACCCUGACAGGAAAUGCUCCAACCCCAGUGGGAUAAAUAACCAGCCCCAAACACAUGGGGAGCAUUAACUGACAUGCAGAAGUUCUGAUUGGCACGAGGGUAUUCUGCUGGCAUGCAGCUAGGGAUUGAAAUCAGAUGUCUGGAGAGGAACUGCUAAGGGUACGAUGCUCUGCUCUGCUCUUUGAUGGAGUCCAUCACUCUUAACACAGGGCUGACAAAGCAGCUUACCCUGCAGGUCCUGCACAGCCACCACUCCAGCGAUGCGUUCAGGGCAGCAGUUCUGGACCUGCCUUGUGAGAUACUGCCACAAGGGUGGCAUUGGAGAAAAGUGGCGGAGCAGAAGACUGGGGGCAGCAUUUGCCUCAGUCAUCCAAUUUGAAGUUGCUGGGAUGGGAAAGGUAGAUACAGAAUGAGAUAUGACAAAAGUGAGCUUGUGAAUUGGACUUGAAAAGGAAAUUAGAACAGAUAGCAGAGGGUUUCAACAAGAGAAAUAAAGAGGAGAAACAUGGUCAUUAUGGAGUGAGAAUGGGGUUGAGAUUAGACCCAUCUACAUAUAGUCUGAAAAUGAAUUAGAAACACCUUGUCCACAUUUCAGUAAAGAUGAUCAUAUUGAGCAGUGGGACAAAGACAGGAUUUCUAGUGGGAAUAUACGUAAGGGAAUGAAAAUUAUCGCAUGUAAGGUGGAAAGAAAAGCAUGAAGAAUUCAGUGUGCUCAGGUAAAGGUGCACUGGCAGAUUUCCAUCCCAGGAUUUGGCACAUUAAAUGAGUUCAGCUUAACCUGAUAUUUCUCUUUGAUGACUGAUUUUUUUUUUUUUAGGCAAAUGAAAUACAGGUGAUUUACUCUAUCCAGACUUGAGUGAAGAAUCUGAUAUUAUACCACAGGGGAAAUUACUAGUUGAAGUUGAGACGAUGGGGAUUAGUGUGGAUGGUGAAUGCAAAACUGUUAAAGUGCAGAGGAAAGGGGAGCUGUGAGAAGAGAAGAAAUGCCAGACAGAGGCAGUCAGUAAGUGGAACUCCUCAGGAGUCAGUGUUGAGCUCAGUCCUGCUUGUUUCAUUAACGAGUCUGGCACAGCAGUAGGAAUGCAGUAAAGAAAUCUGCUGAGGACACGGGCUUUCUUAAUACAGAGGAUGAUCGGAACAUCAAUCAGCAAUGAGUGAAUGACAGAAUUCAUCUGGAAUAGAAUAGACAAAGUAUUAAGACGUGCAUUUAGAAAUUAAUAACUAGAAUAUCAUAUUACUCACUUGAAGAUGACAAAGGCAGGGGGGUGGAAAAAAAACCGCAGAGAAUUACUUGCUCCCAGGGAUAACUGUGAGCCACCAAUCUGAUAUGGAGAGGCAAACACAAUCCUAGAAGGUACAGGUUCACUCAUGUUUGAGGAAGAUUAGCAGGUACAGAGAAGGGCACUGAGGAUGAUCAGAGGGUUUAGAACAAGAGGAGACUAGAAGAGUUUCAUUUGUUUAGUUUUUCAAAACAAAGGCUAGAGGAGAUAGGAUUGUUUUCAGUAAAUAUAUCUGAUAGGUAAAGAUCAGAGAAAAAAGAGAAUUGUUUAAACUGAAUUAUGAUGCUGGCACAAGAACAAAUGAUAUUAAAGCUGAAAAUUUUAAAUGAAGUGCUGGGACAGCCUGCCAAAAAGCACAAUAUGAUGUAAUUGAAUGUAACACUAGGAGGCUGUAGGAUCAGUAAACCAGAGCCCUGUGUUCCUAGAUAACUUCUUUUUUGGGAAGGGAAUUAGCCACAGCAGCUAAAUGAAGGGAAUGGAAAGAACAGCCCAGACCAGCACCACAGAGGUGUUCCAGUGAUGAGCAGUGCGGUGUGCGGUGCGUACCAUGGAGUGGCUUCUUUCUUAGUAAGAAAACAAGGCUGCAGUUUGUGUUGCUAAGUGCUGGCUGUAUCAGAAAAGCAGUGUCACUAAAACAUUCUGCUCUGGGUUUGAGCUCUUGCUUUUUACCCAAAAUGUGACCAUCUUUCACCUCCCAAACCAAAAUAUACGUUGCUGAAAGCACACCUUCAGGAAUUGCUGUCUCAACACUGUCAGUGCCUUGCAGGCUGUGCAGAGGCUGGAAGCAGGCAGUGUGCUCAGCUCCCUGCUCUGUCCCUUGGAGCUCUCCUUUUCUGAUGCUCUGUUAGGCAAAAUGCCCGCACGGGGAAUAAUGUUGUACCUCUUUGAAGAGAAGCAGUAAACACUUUUGGCAAAGUGGGUACUGGCAUCUAACUGGCACCUCUUAAAUGAAGCUGGCUGACAUACACACAUGCUGCAGUGAUGCUCCUGCAGUGGGAAGAGUCCCCUGACCUCAGGGCACGGGACCUCUCUGUCCUGCAGCCCCUCUGGAGCAGGGGCUGAGCAGCAGCUGGUGCCAGGGGCUGGGGCUGCUCUGCUCUCCAACAGCUCUGCACCAGGUGCCCCAUGCUGCUCAUCCGAAGGCAAGAAAAUGCAGCUGGCCAGAGUCCUUGGGUUUGGAAGCAGCUCCACUGGCUAAAGGUAGGGCCUUCCUUUUCCCCCUCUCCCCCCCAGGAGAACUGGCAAAUUCAGCUCUUCAAUGGCACGAGCUCAUCUCAGCCUUGCCUAUAAAUAGAUAAAUGAGAUUCCUCCUGUCCCAGUGAGUAAUUCUGACAUCCUCCCUUUGCCUCGCAGAGAGCUGAGUCACAGGCACUCUGCACUCCAGUCCCUGCAUUACUUACAUGGUCUCAAAGGAAAUUUUAACACAUCCAGUGAAUCAUCAGGGAUUGGAUCAUGUUUAAAGUUAUUCCAGUGGCAUUUCCCUUCUAUUGUAGCAAGUCUGCCAACACCUAAAACUUUAGCUAAUCUGGACUCAAAAUGCAUUGAGGAAAUAGCAUGUUGACAUAUACAGCUACUAAUACAAAUAACUUAAAAAGUUAUCUUAAAUCUGCAUCAAUAAAUAAAUGAACCUUAGCGGAUUCCUUUAGCACUUUGGGCCUGUUAAUUUUGUCAGACUGCUUCACUUUGUUGCUGCUUAUUUAAAAGAACUCAAAAGUUUGAAAUGUUUUAACAUUCAGUCUUUAGGUCCCUAAUUUAAUCUCCUGCAGGUUUCCUGCCAAAAUAUUAUUUGCACUGAGAUGGAGCUCGCAGCCCUGUGCUCGUUCUUUCACAGAAAUGCACACAUUCCUGUUCUUACCCAUGAUAAAAAUAAAAUGCCUGCAAAGCAAGGACAAAACCAGAGAGGUGUUAAGUACAAAACACAGAGCAUAAUAUGCUGGCUGCACGAGGAUCUGAGCUCCAGCAUGAAGCUGUAUCUCCUGAUGGGGCAUUUUCACUUGUCACCCUUCCUUCUCCCACAUGGGACUGUAUGGUCUGAUUGGCUUAGAGGCAACACAGCCUCUGCAAUCAGAGGAAUUCUCCUGCCUCAGAAACAACUGAAGAGUGGAAAAUUCUCCAGCAGAAUUUGGGAGCUGUGAAACAGAAACAGAUUUCACUCUGUUGGUUUUCUGGCUUGCCUUGCUGUGUCUUAGAACUUGUUGGGUCUUUUCACUCAUCCAGAAUCCAGUUACCAGAGUCUCCACUUGAAUGAACAAGAAAUGCUAAUGUUGGCUGUUUUGCUGCUGUGCUUUAGUACUCUGAGUCCUAAAACUUGGGUGGUUCUUUUGAUAACCCUAGGAAUGCUGUGUUUUAUUCAAAUAACAUUUUUCAAGCACCUUUUCAUAAAGCAACUCUCUGCCUGUGUGCAGAUUGUUAACAAGCAUUUGUCCAACACAUCCCAGCAUGAGCUGCAGUCUCUCCAUGAGAUGGUUUGUCUCCUGCACUGAGACUCAUUGGUUUAUUUAUCAGCCCAGCACAGCUCUGCUUGACAGUGUUCUGCCAGCUGUUACUAUACAGCAGCAUUGGGAAAAAAGAUCAGUUUUGGCUCUCAGUGGAGUUGGACAUAAUUCAGCUACCUGUUGACAAAUUAUGAUUUGUUUAACAGCAUAAACUGUAAUAUUUUUAUAGCUGAUAGUUUUCACCCUUCCCUGCAGCUGGAAAAAAAAAAAAAGAGGAACUCCAAGAAGCUCCUUACUUGAAACCAAAGUUUUCUUGUAGUAAUGCCUUGUACUGUGCAGGAAAAUGACAUCUCUAAUGGACAAAUCAGGUGUCUGCAUGAUGCUGGAAGAGGGCAGGUAUGUUAAUAGGGAUCACACAGCUUCUUGCUUGACCUCCUUCCUGCAGUGCUCUUUGCCACACAGUGCAAGGAUGGAGGAUGGCUGGUGGGGCCCCACGAGUGGGGCUGGGCCCUGAGCUGCCCAGCUCUGUGCUGCCAUGGGGACACAGUGCAGUCCAGGCCUCCGAGUUCCCCAUAAUGCAGCAUGCAGGAUGCACCCUCAGGAGAGUAUUGUGGUCCUGCUAAGGAGAGCUGCCUUCACAGAAGGUGAACAAGGUAAGAGGGAAAAAAAAAAAAAAAAAAGUGGCUUUAGAAUAACUGUGUAGAUGGACUUGUUCUACCUGCAGCAGUGAGCUUAGUGUAACUUCUCAGUCUGCACUCCUGUGCUGGGAGUGGGACGGCAGCGUGGCUGCACCAGGCUGGGUAAGGGCUACUUCCAUGUACUGUGUGCUUCUGAAAGUACUGGCCAUUAAUUGAAGCCGAAUGACAUAGCAGAUCCACAGCAUGAAAGAAACAAAACUAACUUACCAAUUUUUGCUCAUGCUUUUAAAAUACGCUCCGCCAAACUGUACUUCAUGACUAUCUCUCAGGAGGGCCAGAUCCUGCAGGCCAUGUCCUCAGCUUGCAGAAAGAGAUCAUUAAUCAUUAGUGUGCCAUGGUCCCUGGCUAUUUUAAUCACUGGUGAAAUACUCAUGCAGUUCCCACUCCUAAAAAUGGUAUUUGACUCCAAUGCACAUGAUUUCCUUUGGCUUCCUUUCCCCAUUUAAUAGCAAGCCAUAACAACUUGGAAGUGCAAGCACUGGAAUCCAUAGGUUUGCUUCUCAUCUGUCAUGGAGCCAAAGCUUGGAACUGCAGGUAAUAUCUGUGCUCACCAAAAGAGCAGAACGUAUUGUGACUGGCUGCCUGUGACAGCCCUGCCUACAGACUGAUGGUCAAACCCUGUCCUGUGUACUGGAGCUCUGAAAAUUUGGUCCCUUCUGUAUCAUUAGUCCAGUUCUGUUCCGCUUUAUGAUAUAAUGAUUAAAAAUGCUUUUUGUAUAUGCUGGCAAUAAUUAGGGCAUGUUAGUCCACUGUGGGAGAAGUGGAUGAACUAGCAGUAUGUUUGAAAACUGCAGGCUGUGGCAACCCAUAAAUCUUUGUUCAGUUUUCGCUUUAAAAAUGCUGCACUGAAGUCACAGGAAGCUCAAGGGCAAAACAAACUGCUCAGCCUCAGACUCAGGAUCACAGUGAAACUGUGUGCAUUGCUUCUCUCACAAGGCAGAUGAGCAGCCUGAGGAGUCUAAGCUGUCCAGAGAAAACUUCCCUGCCCUCCCUUAAUUGCAGACUAAUAAAUGCAUUGUUCCCCUCUCCCUGGGCUUACCUGAUUUAUAAACUCGAUUGCUACAACUCUGAAUUCUCUGCUUUUACUCUUCAUAUGUGAACAGGUUCCUUUUGAGCUCAUAGAAAGCACCAGUCUGGUUUUGCAUAGAGGGAGGGAGCAGGUGAAGUUUAUAGGUGUAAAAGCCUAAGAGGUAAUGUUAGCAGGUGCACUGGUCAUGAGGGAGCCCUCCAGGGAUAAUUACAGCAUGUCAGCUCAAAGGCACAAUGACAAAUAGGGGACUGUCAAGAAUUCAAAUGUGGAAUUUAACUCAUCUCUUCUGACAGCGUUAUUUAUAUAGAAAACCAUGGAUCUUUCUCUUGUAUCUUUAAAAGACAAGUAAAAGUAUGUUCUUUUCUUUUUUUUUAAGUUGCAUAUCAGGCAGUGUCAUCCUUAGUAAUGAGGAAUUUCUGUCUGCAUGGCUGUCAGGUUCAGAAGUCACAUCUGUUACCAGCUUUAAAACUUGAUGCUGCACAGAAAGGUGAAGACACUGCAUCAGCUACAUGAGGAAACAGUCUGUGGCUUCGUAUGCUGGACCAGUCUCAGAAAUCAAAGGCAUCAAAGCAGAAAGUCCUGAAGCAAACAACUCCAAAGGCAGCGACCUGCAAGGCAGCCCUGAGCAGCACAGGUUCCUUUGCUCCCAGCCCAUCCUUAGCAGACAGGAGUGUGCCUUUCUCGUGCCCAUUACCUCUCUUACCUAGUCACACAACUGCUGGGACCAGGAUUGUCUUUUAGGGCUUGCUUACACAGAGCAGUUGACUAUUCUGCAAUAGCUGCUGCAGGAUGACUUCAUGUGAACGCACUCAUUCCACAGCGGCUGCUGGAGUUCCUGAUUCAUACCAUACCUUAACUGGAGUCGUGUCAGCAAGUCAGUGUGCUUUACAAAGUUAAGCAAGACCCAGUUUGGGGUUUCUAGUCACUUCUCCUUUACAUAGAGUUCAGCUUUAAGAAAAGCAGUUGAAAUGUUCCUGAGAAUGACAAAUAACAAAUGAGUAAUGCUUGCUGUGGAGCCACACAGCCCAAUUAAAAAUAGGUAAGUGAUGUGUAAAGGCAAGUCUGUGCAGUCC